CAAACUCUGCUUUUUUGAAGGGCCCCCUGCACAAGCGAUAUGAGACUGCCUGCCUUGUGUGAGCCUUGGAUGAGCCCUGCAGCUCCUUCGAGAUGCUCCUUGGAUAUUCCUGAUGGAGAAGACCAACCCCGAGGAAGCUUGGUCCUGCUUGCGAUGAGCUUGCUGUGCUUUCACGGACACCCUUCGUUUCUUCUACCAGUUUUCAGUGCCAGGGUGCGCUUGAAAGGAGAGCUGAUGCCAGGGCUAUAGCCUUCCCCAGCCAGAGCAUGUGGGCCAAACCCUUUCUGGAUGGCUAGGCAGUGGGGAGAAGCCAUGAGAUGGUUGAGAAGUAGUCACAACUCCCCUGGGGACAGACUGGUUUUCAGGGUUACAUCCAUUCAAAAACACCCCCCGGAAUUCAGGCUUGUGAAAGACAAGCUAACUUGACCCUGUUCCUUUGUUCUCACUGAGGUCCUGUCCCUGGCAUCCCCUUCCUCCUGUGGACACCACUGAGGUGCAGACACUACCCCGAUGGGGCUUCCCGUCCUGCUGUUCGGCUCUGGAAGAGACUUGAUUCCUUUUCUUUUUGUGCUGGUGGAGAUCACACACAAAAGGUAAGAUGAACCCAGCUGUUUGGGAUUCUGGAAGAAGGAGGUUGGCCUGUAUCCCUGCUGUAAGGGAAGAUGCUGUUCUUGGGCGUCUCCCUUUCAGGGAUGAUGCCGGUGGCGGACAGGAAGCCCAGCUCCUGCCGCCUGGAUGACUCUUCCCUUGGUGGGGACCAAUCCUGGAUGGAAUCAGUUCAAGAUGGAUGCCAGCUUCAUACAAGAGCCCUAUCAGGAUUGGCCUGAGGUCUGUAAGAGUAUAUUUGGCCCAGAGAGAAGUGCUAUCAGCUACUAAAAGUGAAUACUAAAUGGCCUAUCUAUGUCAGAGGGAAGCCCAAAGCCCAGGAAGAAAUGAUGGACCAGAAACAACAGGACAUGCUCGAAGACUUGCUGCAUGGUGGAUGGCCCAGAGACGGCGGGGCUCACAGAUGGUCACGUUUAGUGCUUGCAGAUUGGUAAUGCCUGUGCCCUUGGCUUUGUUUAUUCUGGUCAACCAGUUGUCAGUGCUGCCAUCGAGGGCUUUCUGGACAGCAUGGCACCUUCCGUAAGGAGACCUUGGCUUCAGUAGCUAGUCCAGAGAUGAGACAGUGGGAGUGGAGGAUCACCUGGGAUCAUGUAGAGCUCAAUGAACCUUCUCUUGAUUCAUAUGAGGAUGCUAGUAGCCUUGGUUGGGCUUUUCUGCAGUGGGACUUUUAUAGUCCCCUCAGGACCUUGAUGUGACUAACCAUAUGUGCACCAUUGAGAAAUGCAAGUCCCCAUUCACAUACCCCAGGGUCUAUAUACCUGCAGAGGACUUCUGACCUACAGCAAGUGGGCUCCCUUCUCAUCUUGAAAACCUUCCAGUGUGAACUCUAGAACCAAGGAAGACAGAGAAAGGGGACAAUGUCAGCAUCGUUGCAAGGGAGUACCAAAUGCUACCUCUAAGGAUUUCCUGGACAUGAUGGCAACUUGCAGAAAGAUGGCGGUUCAGUCAAGCUGGUAGAGAAGCCAAGUAUGGAUGUUUGGCCACGGACAGUGUGCUUGAGCUAGCUGUAAGUCACCUGGUCGGGUUACCUGAGCAUCUGAUCCACCUGUAGGCCUCUCAUCAGUGGGCCGUGCCAACCUUGGUGAGGCAGCUGUGGCUCUGCCCCCAAGUAUCAGCUUACAAGACUUUGAAAAGAGGUCAUCUUCCGGAAGAGAUGUUGGUGCCAGCACCAUUCAGGGUGUGUGACUGGUUGACCAGAGGGGCGUGCACUCUGUUCACCCUGUGGGCCACCUAGUCACCAACCCUCAGCAUCAAUUCCACUCAAAGAAGACUUUCCAGAGAUCCUACCAAGUUUGGGGAUAUGUCAAUGGACUUGAUGGCUGUGCCUGCUCAGUGGACCAGGAUGAACUGUGGUCUUAGGGGUGUAUGUUUACAUAAGAUGCCAUGAGGCAUCCGUGGUAGCUGCUGCAUCACUGUCACAGCCUCCUUGAAAUGUUGACUUCAGAUGUGGACAUGAUGUUGACUUCCCAUGAGGGACCUGAAGUCCCUUCUCUCCUGGGAGAGUCUGUGAGAUGAUACCAACCUCUAGAAGCAGGCAUGGUUGUCCCGACAUCGCCACACUACCACAGGAGCUUCCAGAAUACAUUCUCUUCAUGGAAACUGUGGAACCACGCCCCCUCUGGUCCAGGAGGACUAACCAGAUUCAAGGCUAUCACCAUCCCCCUUCAGGACAGUGGAAGCAGCCACCUUUUCGAGAGAGUCGAUGUGUUCUUCACCAGUGUUCUUCGCCAGUGAUCAUGUGUGAUACUUGGAGAGAGGCUGGCCGUGAUGAAUUCGAUUCAUCUAAACGAGUCAUACACGGCUCUCCUCUCUUCUAGUGUCAAACUCUGCCUCAGAGGUCUUCUCAAGCCACUACUGUUCCCAAGGAUGCCUAAUUGCAAUGCCAGCUUCUGGGGUGAACAUGGACCCACUGUCAUCGGGCAAGGUCUAGGAUGGACAUGGAGACCCACCAUCUGGGAGAUUCCAGAGUGGACGUGAACCCACCAUCAUCAGUGUCCCUUGGGAAGGAGAGAACCCAGCAGCAUUCAUUACCACCCGAUGCUUGCUAAUGGUGUGACCUUGAAUGAGUCAGCCUGUCACCUGUCUGUGCCUCCGUUUGUCUGUCUGAGAGUGUUAAUGGCUGCUUAUAAGAGAGCUUCAUGGAGUAUUCAGAAGCUGGCGGGUGUCACCUGGAGGAUGUGACUGGGUACCAGUGCCAGAGCACGUGCCCACUGAGCAGUCUUCUUCACUUUCCUCGAUCCUCAUGAAACAUUCCGGGAUCUUUACCUCAAAGGACUCCAGAGGCUACAUCAUUGUCUUGGAACUGGUCAGUGGCUGGAGCUCUCUCCAGGACAAGUGCUUGGAGGAAGAACCUGGACAAGCUUCCCUCCCCAUACUGUUGACUGGAUCUUGUAGCUACCGUUAGCCACCAUCAUCGCCAUUGUGUGCCUCUUAGGAGCAUUUCCAGGAGGUGAUGCCAGCUGGGGAAAGAGCCUCUGUCCCACAGCCGUCGGUGCCCGCUGCAGCCUGCGCCCAGGAUGUCACAGCCUCAGCUCAACACCUCUGCUGGACAGCUUCAGGUGGUGAUUCCAGCUCCAGGGUUGCUGCGGUCAACACUGGGUACUUGAGGAGAGGUUGUCUGUGAUGAGUUCGCUUUAUUAAUGACGAAUAUAACACAGAUGGCCUGUUUUCAAUACCACCUGCCACUCCGGUCACUCGGCAGUACAUACCAGGUGUCACACCACUGCCCGGCAGGUGACAACGCUGAAUUGGUCCUCAGGAGCGGAUGUUCAAGGAACCCUGCCUAUGCACCAUGCUAGCUGCCAGUCCUAGGUUGGGACAUUCCACUGGGGACAUCCAUGGGAGAGCUAUGGCCAUUAACAAGUCCUGAGCCCUGACCUGAAGCCAUCAGUGGCCUAGCUGCUCUACCUGACUUUGUGGCCUCCCUUCCUGGAUCUCUCGCUUACGACAACCGACAACAAAGAUGUUUGACUCCAGAAGAUGCUCCCCGCGGCCCACCUGAGAGGACUGUCCACACCCCACCCCACUGCGCCCUGUGCCAUCUACCUCUGAGUCCCCAACUUCUCACCCAUGUUUCAACUCCCACCCCAGAGCCUUGUAUUCCAGAUCUGAGCAGCCCUUGCUUAGGAACCUGAGGUGGGGGGUGGGUAGGCAGACCCAGGGGACUGAGCAGGGAGGGGAAGGAGGGGUUUCUGCUCUUGGCUUUCAAAGUUCUCAGUGUGUGUAGCCCUUUGAAUAAUAAACAUAUGUCAUAUAAUGUAA
rnacentral:lncRNA from 1 species